GAGAAAAAAAAAGAGACGGUGCGAAAAAAAAUAACGCGCACGCUCGGCGGACCUAACCCAUCGCCGCGCCGCGCCAUCCCCACGCUGCGCCGCCCGCUGGAACUAACCCACGGCGCCGCCAUCCCCCACGCACAGCAAGAAAUCGCUAAUCUCCGCCCCCACGCCACUGCUCCGCCUGCCGCGCCGCCCGCCCCACGCCCCACGCUGCACCGCCCGCCGGACCUGAUCCCGCCUCACCUCACCGGCGCCGCCCUCCCCCACGCCACCAUCGCCGCCCUGCCCCUUCCCAUGCCGCGCCGCCCGCCGGACCUGAGCCCGCCUCACCUCACCGGCGCCGCCCUCCCCCACGCCACCAUCUCCACGGCCCUCCCCACGCCACCGCCAUCCUCCCUCGCCGCCGCCGCCACCGGGGGCGGUUCCCAACUCCGCCUCCCCCACCACGCCUCCCACAUCGCGUCACCCCUACCGCCCCGCAUCUACCGGCCGACGGUUCCUCCGCGUCGCCGCCGGCUCCUCCCGCGGCACCCCACCCCCAUCCCGGCGCUUCUGUCCGUGGAGAUCGGCGGGGUAGCCGGCUCGCAAGGUGGAGCAUCGAUGUGACGUGAUGCAGCAUUUGGGGAGUCUUUGGUAGAGGUGGAGCGGUGGAGAUUCCGACGCCGCCGAAGCCCCACCCAGUGCACAUCGGCGUCGCGACUCCCGCCGACGCCCCGCCAUCUUCCGACCGGCGCCGCCGCCCGCAUCACUGCCGACGCCUCGCCAUCGCGCGGCCGCCACGCCAACCGCGACGCCCGCCUCGCCGAUCUCCUCCGCGGUCGCUGCCGCCAUCUCCACCGGCCACCGCUGUCCUCGGUACGCACUGCUAAGUCCUAACCCACCCAUGCCUCUGCCUUGCCGCCGACACCAAUAACCCCUGCGUCCGCUGUGCUUCACGUUGACUGGUCAUGGAACCAGUGCAGCCCACUCCACUGGCUGGAGCUGCUUCCCUCAGGCUGCCGGAGGUAGCUCGCUGUGCCAGGUUAUCAGUCAUCUCAAGCAAUGUGCUCAUUAGGCUAUUGUUUGAUUCACGUACAGAAUCUGUUGCAGUAGUUUAGACGAUCUUGCACUAUACAUUCCUGUAUUUACAAAAUCUGUUGCAGUGUUUGAUUAUACAUUCGGCAUCAUAUUUUGCAUUAUAUUGUUAUUUUCAACUCCUGUAUUUACAGAGUGUUGACAUGUUAUUUGUAUUUAGAUCCCAGCCAAUGUGAAUUCUAGAGCUCUGUUCUAAAUGUUGGUAAACUCUAAUGAAUUCUAGAGCUCUGUUCCAAAUCUUUGAGUCCAUACUUUAGUCCAUGCUCUGCACCUUAGCAAAAAUGAAAAUGUUAUCUGCAGCUAGCCCAAGGAAUCCACCUGCAUCCAGAUUAUGUUUCUUCAACUAUUUGUUAUAUGGUUCCCUCCAGUCAUUCUUUUGUACAGCAGCGUGCUCACUAUUUGUUUGCUAAAAUGUUGACCAUGCAUUUGUUGAAAUACUCAAUAAAAAUUUGUUCGACCACUGCCACCAUGGUCACUAUUAGGGGCUCCACACCGAUAUCUUCAGCAAGAUUGGGUAAAAUGUCUUGCUGCUGAUGUCAGUAACAUUUUUUUUCUUCAUGUGAGUUGCUAAUUGUUCCUCAUAAGGUCCUUGCAGGUUCAAGAAAUACAGGAUUCAUGUGAUGAGAAAAAGGAAAAUAGGGUUCAACUGAACUCUGAAUCUAAAGAAAAACGAAACAUACGGCAAAAAAAUAUGGCAAAGGCCAACAUAAAGGAUUUUGUAGGAUGUGGGCUUUCAUGAAGAAGGUUUGCAGCUCAGCUAAGUUGACGCGGGGGCAGUAAGCUUCUGCAAACCUGGGCUCUAUUUUGCACAGGGAGAACACAAUAGCAGAGGCUACCAUGAGAAGAUCUGAUAAAUUUCCAUUUGAGAGGCUCGGUUAUUGAUGUUUCCUAAGGAUUUUUAGGGUUUAUUUGGAUUUAUUUAUAGGUGUAAAUACUGCAACGUGUCAAACUGAAUAAAAGAAGUGCCUCAUUUUGUCUCAAACUGUAGUAGUAGGCUAAGAUUUCAGAUUUUUUAGCUAGAUGGUGGCGAUUGUGAAUUUCAAGUUGAUUUGCUUCUGGGCUAGCAUGCUCUGCCCAUUCAAGAGAUUGCAUGCACGUACAUUGAUCAAUGACAACGCCAUAUUUUCCUUGCA